ACACAAAGAACUGAAGUUACAUAAACAGUCAUGGCGGUUGUUAACUCUCUUAACUACCAAUGCCCCUUCAUUCCCUUAUUAACUAAACCCAAAAACCCUAAUUUCAAUUCUCUCAAGUUUAACCCAAAUCAAGCUUCCAGGUUUUGUUUUCCCAGCCGUCGCUGCGUUCUCGUUAAUGGCACGCUCCUAAAUUCUCACCGAAACACUCCCGAAGAAGAUGAUGAAGUUGAUAAUUUAGGGGUUAAAGCUGCUUUAUCCAUGCUCAAAUUCUACAAAAGGGAAAUAUCGCCUGUAAUACCAAAGAGUUGCCGGUUUGUUCCCUCGUGUAGUGAGUACUCAAUGGAAGCAUACAAGAAAUAUGGGGUUGUAAAGGGCACAGUUUUGACAGCUUGGCGUCUUUGCCGUUGCAAUCCGCUUGGUGGGUCAGGAUUUGAUCCUCCAAGGUGGUUUGAUGAGGAAAAACCCACAGAAGAAUGAGAGAUAUGGUUUUGUAUUUCUCAAGUUAUCCACAUCAAUAUCUAUGCUUAAUCGUUGAAUUCUUGUUGGAACUUAUAUGAGAACAGCAGCAGUGCAGCUGUGUUUUCAAAAUCUAGUUUGAGUUUGGUGGAUAUGUUGCUCGCUUGGUUUCCUCCUCGAGGAAAGCUCUUCGCUGUGGUCUUUUGGUAUGCCUUCGUCAAUCUCGUCUCCGGCCUCUCUUGGUCAUUGCUUGUUGGCCCUUUUCCCCCUUUGGGGAAUUUAGGGAUUUAUUUUGUUAUUGCACCUUUUUGGGUGCUUGUUUUGUAGAUUAAGCUGUUUUGGUGCCCUUCUUUGGCUUUCUUGCAAGUACUGCUGGCCCCAGUUUACAUGCAGGAGCUACGAUGAAUCUUCGCAUUAAGGGGAACGUAGUUCACACUAAUGAUUAGUGCUCUCCUAAACGAGCAUUCAUCCAUCCUGUGCUAUUGCACUAGCGGUUGUGGCACGUCAACAAUCAUUCACUGCCUGGCUAGAUUUUCUGUCAGCUUGGCAUGGUAACUUCUGAAAUGACAUACAUGCUAUUAGGGUUGACAAAAAAAAUUGAUUAAAUUGAGAAAUUGAGUCGAACCAGCAAUUCAACAAUUUGCAUCACAUCAA